GGAGUGGCAGCGCAGCAUCGUGGGGCUGGGAGCGGAGGCGCAGCCUUCCCCGCCUCCCACAGCUGGAAAUAGCUGGAAAGUUUGGGGCUGCAGCGGCCGUGGCAGACUGAGCUGAGAGAGGCGCGUUCCUGAUUGAUCUGGAAGCAGCAGCUCAGUGCGAGGGAAGGAGUCUAUACACACCGCAACAGCUCUUUAAUUUCUUAAUUUAAUAUCUGACACGUAAAGAUUCUCAUUAAGCCAGUCAAUGAAGCCUGGAAAUACAAUUUUCGUGCAAACUGUCGCUAUCAUAACUUACACGAAACUUCAGCUGGUGCCCUGUGAGCGGCGUGAUUAAAACCAUUCAUCUUCCCUGUCAGCCUCCCGUCACCGCACCACCCGUGCCACCGCCGCUGGGUGCUGGGUGUGGGGUGCACAGUACCCACACUUGGGGGGCACAGGCAGCCGUGGCAUCACCCAGUAGGAUGGAGGUGGUUGAGAGAGCUGCCCAAAGUGUGCUCGUUAGGGAAAUGAAUCCCUCUCGGGUCUCUGUGCUGUAGUACAAAUAAAAGGCGUUGGACU
rnacentral:lncRNA from 7 species